ensembl:lncRNA
GCGUCCGUCAAUCAUUGUCGGAUGAGUCGGAUGAGCUCAUGCUGCUGUGAUGUUUUUGUUGUUUUAAGGACUGUCCUUUCGCUUAGUUUGUUUGUCCUCAGGAUCUGGUCAGAGCGACCCCCCCGCUGAACAAAGAUUUCACAACGGGUCGAGCACAGUUCAGUCAAAGGGGGCUGUUAUCUGGAAGGAACAGAAGCUCUUAUCCAGAUCCACGCAACUGUUUUCCCUCCAGGUUUAUGGAGAUAUUUACGGCCUAACGAGCGUUACAGCAUCAGGCAUCAAAGCAACAAAACAUUUUCUUAACGGCAAAGCGAUCGUGCCCCCGCAGGGGGGGAGUGGGGGGGAUGCGUUAAGCAGUUCGUUGGAAAUGUUUGCCGCGUGGAUGCGAGACGGACGGGGUAAAAGUCAGCAGACGUCGCAGCAGGUGCCACCAUUUUUUUUUCACGACGCCCCUCCGAGCGGCAGCAUCCGCGAAGCGCCGAUUGAUUUGUGUGAGAUGUUUCCUAUUGUUCAGGCUCAGGAGGUUUAGCACCGGGCUGAUUAACUAAUGGAGGGAUUUAAUCCCAGGUGGGAGUCAGACACCGGGGUCCGGAGCACAAUGAGCAGCCGUCACUUGACCCCAAACUAAAUGCAGAGUAGUAAAAAGUUCGUCGCCGCACGGACGUCAUCUGUGCUUUAGAGGAGCUUUAGAGGAGCGGACUGGACGGGACGGUCCAGCUGGUCCGAGAACAGAAUAAUACACAAACAAGGUUAGCCAAAAGGCUUUGUGGAUCCUUUUAGUGUUUGGCAUUGAAGACGACAGAGAGCUGCCCUCGGAUUUGACCGGAUGAACGAUAUAACGAUCAGGUGUAGCAAACUGCAGUCGCCUCUCAGGGCGAAACGGCGGCUUUGUCGUGUCGGCCAAAUGCGGCCAGCUUUUUAAAAAAAUAGAACGAUUUUUCUGAUUUUCCUUGGAGAAAAAAAAAACGGACGUCAAGCUUCGGACGUUGAUCGGGUCGAGGUUCUCCUCUUCCUCUGGUGUCGGGGAGAAAACCCCCCCCCCGAGUCCAAACAGGAGUACCUUCAGGUCAGAGAACAAAUGGCUUGAAGGCCUCAUGUGGCCCCUUUGACCACAACACAUGGCCCCUUUUGUCCCCCCGCGUGCCACUCAGCCACAGGGCGAAGCGACCGGAAGCUGCUGCCACGGGCCGUCUGAGGGGGAAAGGGUUUGAACCUGUGAACUGAUGGGGCCCGAUCGCCGAGGCCAUUCACGCCGACAGGAGGGGCCGAAGAGGCGGUGGGCGGGGGGGCCUUUCACCCCGAGCUGAGGUGCUGCUCCUGGCCGCCUCAUGUAGAGAUCCACCAGUGCAAGAGGAACAAAUGAAUAUAAAUAUUUCCAGAUGAAAACUGACGCGUGUGGUUUGAACAGGCUGAAUAGAAAUCUAAAUCAUGUCUUUAUCAGAGAGCAAAAGGAAAGUGAGAGGAGAGAGAGGCUGGAAAAAGACCCCCAGUCCGACGUGAAACAUGGAGUUUGGGCUUCACGGUUCUCCCUCCGAAUGCUCCUCAGCAAUCAUUUCUCAUUUAAAAAGAAAUUCCAUUUACCUUCUCCAGAAUGAGGCACCAGUAGAAGACUCUCUGCCAAAUAUCUCUGUGACUACCACCAAGGGGGGGGGAUGCACGGUUUUGUAGUGAUUCGGAAGGACCAACCAACCUAAUACGCUUUUGGGAUUAGAGACGUCACUCUGAGAUAUGUCAUCCAUUCCCCACAAAGGCUCAAAUAUUUUUAGGAGCUGCAAAAUUCAGGAAAAACCCAAAACACUCCAUUUCCAGCCCCCCCCGCCCUCCCCCCAACGGCAACGGGGAUUGUGCCUCAGAGAAACGUGGGAGUGGUUGUGUA